rnacentral:rRNA from 1 species
AUUGAACGCUGGCGGCAGGCCUAACACAUGCAAGUCGAGCGGGAGUAGCAAUACUCUAGCGGCGAACGGGUGAGGAAUGCUUGGGAAUCUGCCUAGUAGUGGGGGAUAACGUUCGGAAACGGACGCUAAUACCGCAUACGUCCUACGGGAGAAAGGGGGGAGUCUUCGGACCUCUCGCUAUUAGAUGAGCCCAACGCGGGAUUAGCUAGUUGGUGAGGUAAUGGCUCACCAAGGCGACGAUCCCUAGCUGGUCUGAGAGGAUGAUCAGCCACACUGGAACUGAGACACGGUCCAGACUCCUACGGGAGGCAGCAGUGGGGAAUAUUGGACAAUGGGCGAAAGCCUGAUCCAGCCAUGCCGCGUGUGUGAAGAAGGCCUUAGGGUUGUAAAGACACUUUAAGCGAGGAGGAAGGUUCGUCACCUAAUACGUGGCGAAAUUGACGUUACUCGCAGAAUAAGCACCGGCUAACUCUGUGCCAGCAGCCGCGGUAAAG